AGUGAACGCUGGCGGUAGGCCUAACACAUGCAAGUCGAACGGCAGCACAGUAAGAGCUUGCUCUUACGGGUGGCGAGUGGCGGACGGGUGAGGAAUACAUCGGAAUCUACUUUUUCGUGGGGGAUAACGUAGGGAAACUUACGCUAAUACCGCAUACGACCUACGGGUGAAAGCAGGGGAUCUUCGGACCUUGCGCGAUUGAAUGAGCCGAUGUCGGAUUAGCUAGUUGGCGGGGUAAAGGCCCACCAAGGCGACGAUCCGUAGCUGGUCUGAGAGGAUGAUCAGCGAAACUGGAACUGAGACACGGUCCAGACUCCUACGAGAGGCAGCAGUGGGGAAUAUUGGACAAUGGGCGCAAGCCUGAUCCAGCCAUACCGCGUGAGUGAAGAAGGCCUUCGGGUUGUAAAGCCCUUUUGUUGGGAAAGAAAAGCAGCAAGUUAAUACCCCGCUGUUCUGACGGUACCCAAAGAAUAAGCACCGGCUAACUUCGUG
rnacentral:rRNA from 1 species